rnacentral:lncRNA from 1 species
GUUUGGGAUUGUCCCUGUGACCCUGCUCCAUCCUGCUGCCCUCCACCCCAGCAGCAGCCUGAGGGUUGUAACCCAGCCGUCCAUUUGAUAAGGAACCCAGGAAGCUCUCUCCGGGGGAGCGAGGCAGGGAAGGAAGGAGGUCCGUGCACGUCUGCUCUCAGGUAAGGAACCAGGUGUGCACCCGGGGGACCCCAUGGGGAGUCCCUGGAUGGAGUGCUGAGCGUGACCCUGUCCUCAGUCCCUGGCCGAGGGUCCCAGCCACUCAGGCCCUCAGGUGUAGGCCCCAAGCCCUGGCCAGGUUGCCCUGCUGAGGCCCGAGGGGAGGCAGGCAGGACACAGGUGGCCUCUGCUCCGUCCCCUUCCCCCUGAGGAGGGCCAGGAGCCCCCUGCCUGCCCACGCGUGCUCUGUUUAAUCACUGCAGGUCCCCUCGGGCUAUGUCGGGAUGCCACCUGCUCCCUUAAUGCAGAGAACCUGCUGUGAGCCAGGGCCUGAUCCGAAUUCCAGAGUCUGGUCUCUCAGAUGGCACCCUGUGGCCCUGGCGGGCAGCGAGCCCAACCCUGUCAUGAGGACACCCGAGGAGGAUUCGCCCCCAGGCUGGUAAAAUGGCACCUGCAGGGCUCCUGGGCUGCAGAGCCAAAGCAAGGUGCUAGGUCAGCGCCAUAAACCUAUGGGAGAGUCACCGGAUUUCAUGGGCCCGCAAAACAGCCCCCAGGACCUUCCUCCAGGAGGGCUGCCACUCAGUGGGCCUGGGCAGGGCUCGGGAUUCUGCAUCUCUCCAGCGGGGUGCCCCAGGCUGCUCCUCUGAACCAGGAGGGGGGCCAGGUGGCAGCCAGCACACCUGUAGAACCCUCCUGGGAAAAUGCCCAAGGACACCUCGGAGAGAAGCCGUCCAGGUCCCCAAGGCCUGCUAAGAGGCCCCCUGUGACCACUUCUUUUGUUCUACACCAACUUCCAUACCUGAUGCCUUUUCUUCAAGCACCACCCCCUACUGAUGCCUAAGCGCUCAAGGCUCAUGCACUUGAGUCUUCCCCACCUGGGAGCAGGCGAGAGGCCUGCUAGGAGCCUGGACUGGGCAGUUUCAUUCGUAUUUCAGGGUGCUGGAACUUGACUCCUGCUUCCUGAUCCCUGACUUUAGGCAGAAGAUGCAGGGUGGCCGCGGAGGUGACAUAGCAGCAGUGUGCAGCCCAGAACUCCAGCCAAUGAGUCAUGUGGAAAAGGGUGUUUGUGGCCCAGGCCACCGUCUCCCAUUCGGCCAGCGUUUGUUGAGCAUCAAUUACGUGUGGCGCACCCUUGUAGGCUGGGGGAGCUCAGCCGCGUGAGCGAGAGAUUCCCAAGUGAAGCAGAGUGGUCAGCCGAGGUCACACCGCAGGGACACUCACCGAGGAAGAAAGCUCUAACACAGAGUUUCGAGCUCCCGUAAUUGCGGUCGGGUCUUCAUUUUUGCAUCCUUUAUUUUUUUCUUUAGCACCUUGAAGAAUGGAGUAGGAAGAAAUGUCCCCUCCUUAAAAGGACUGAAGACUUAAUUAAAGCUCCGGCUGCCCAGGAGAGAGGAGGAAGUGGGUUUUCAGUCCUAGUGAAUUAGCCACCAAAGGUCUAUCACCAGGAGACUCCAGGAGAGAAGGCUCAG